rnacentral:rRNA from 1 species
UUGGAGAGUUUGAUCUUGGCUCAGGACGAACGCUGGCGGCGUGCCUAAUGCAUGCAAGUCGAGCGGCAGCAGACCUCUAUCUUCGGAUAGAGGUGCUGGCGAGCGGCGAACGGGUGAGUAACACGUGGGUAACCUCCCCCGAGGAAGGGGAUACCCCAUCGAAAGGUGGAUCAAUACCCUAUACCCUCCAGAGAGGCAACUCUCUGGAGAAAAGAUGGCACUCUGUGCUAUCGCCUCGGGAUGGGCUCACGGCCUAUCAGCUAGUUGGUGAGGUAAUGGCUCACCAAGGCUACGACGGGUAGCUGGCCUGAGAGGGUGGUCAGCCACAUUGGGACUGAGACACGGCCCAGACUCCUACGGGAGGCAGCAGCAGGGAAUCUUGGGCAAUGGGCGAAAGCCUGACCCAGCGACGCCGCGUGGGUGAUGAAGGCCUUCGGGUCGUAAAGCCCU